GACGGAGGAUGCAAGUGUUAUCCGGAAUCACUGGGCGUAAAGCGUCUGUAGGUGGUUUAAAAAGUCUAUUGUUAAAAAUUGAAGCUUAACUUCAAAGAUGCAAUGGAAACUUUUAAACUUGAGUAUGGAUAGGGGUAGAGGGAAUUUCCAGUGGAGCGGUGAAAUGCGUAGAUAUUGGAAAGACCACCAAUGGCGAAGGCACUCUACUGGGCCAUUACUGACACUGAGAGACGAAAGCUAGGGAGCGAAUGGG
rnacentral:rRNA from 1 species